UACGUAGGGUGCAAGCGUUGUCCGGAAUUAUUGGGCGUAAAGAGCUCGUAGGCGGUUUGUUGCGUCGGCUGUGAAAUCCCGAGGCUCAACCUCGGGUCUGCAGUCGAUACGAGCAAACUAGAGUGUUGCAGGGGAGACUGGAAUUCCUGGUGUAGCGGUGAAAUGCGCAGAUAUCAGGAGGAACACCGGUGGCGAAGGCGGGUCUCUGGGCAACAACUGACGCUGGAGGUGCGAAAGCGUGGGGAGCAAACAGG
rnacentral:rRNA from 1 species